rnacentral:rRNA from 1 species
GACGAACGCUGGCGGCGUGCUUAACACAUGCAAGUCGAACGGUAAGGCCCUUCGGGGUACACGAGUGGCGAACGGGUGAGUAACACGUGGGUGAUCUGCCCUGCACUUCGUGCUAAGCCUGGGAAACUGGGUCUAAUACCGGAUAGGACCACUGCCUGCAUGGGUGGUGGUGGAAAGCUUUUGCGGUGUGGGAUGGGCCCGCGGCCUAUCAGCUUGUUGGUGGGGUGAUGGCGUACCAAGGCGACGACGGGUAGCCGGCCUGAGAGGGUGACCGGCCACACUGGGACUGAGAUACGGCCCAGACUCCUACGGGAGGCAGCAGUGGGGAAUAUUGCACAAUGGGCGCAAGCCUGAUGCAGCGACGCCGCGUGAGGGAUGACGGCCUUCGGGUUGUAAACCUCUUUCAGCACCGACGAAGCGCAAGUGACGGUAGGUGCAGAAGAAGGACCGGCCAACUACGUGCCAGCAGCCGCCGUAA